GAGGGACUGGAUUUGAUCCACGCGUCGGACGACCCGAGAGGCACCGCCAAUGGAUUGAGAAACUCUGCCUCCAACUUCAGCUGAAGAAGAAGUGCCUCAAGCAAGGUCGGGAGAUGUGUGAAGGAGCGUGAGGGACGGCCAUGGGAUUGGAGAGACGGUGGCUUCCGGCUGUCACCACCGCUGUAGCCCUCUGUCUGCUCAGUGCGCCUCAUAGCGCGGCGUCGUUGGUCCACGCCCGGGUCGGGAGCGCCGCAGAGCUGGACUGCAGUCUCACCCCGUCUUCCAAAGGAGCCACCACCCC